rnacentral:rRNA from 1 species
UACGUAGGGCGCAAGCGUUGUCCGGGAAUUAUUGGGCGUAAAGAGCUCGUAGGCGGCUUGUCACGUCGGGUGUGAAAGCCCGGGGCUUAACCCCGGGUCUGCAUUCGAUACGGGCAGGCUAGAGUGUGGUAGGGGAGAUCGGAAUUCCUGGUGUAGCGGUGAAAUGCGCAGAUAUCAGGAGGAACACCGGUGGCGAAGGCGGAUCUCUGGGCCAUUACUGACGCUGAGGAGCGAAAGCGUGGGGGAGCGAACAGG